rnacentral:rRNA from 1 species
AACGAACGCUGGCGGCAGGCUUAACACAUGCAAGUCGAACGCACCUUUCGGGGUGAGUGGCAGACGGGUGAGUAACGCGUGGGAAUCUACCCUUCUCUACGGGAUAGCUCCGGGAAACUGGAAUUAAUACCGUAUACGUCCUGAGGGAGAAAGAUUUAUCGGGGAAGGAUGAGCCCGCGUUGGAUUAGCUAGUUGGUGGGGUAAAGGCCCACCAAGGCGACGAUCCAUAGCUGGUCUAAGAGGAUGAUCAGCCACAUUGGGACUGAGACACGGCCCAAACUCCUACGGGAGGCAGCAGUGGGGAAUAUUGGACAAUGGGCGCAAGCCUGAUCCAGCCAUGCCGCGUGAGUGAUGAAGGCCCUAGGGUUGUAAAGCUCUUUCAGUGGGGACGAUAAUGACGGUACCCACAGAAGAAGCCCCGGCUAACUUCGUG